GCAGUGGUUAACGUGAAUCCGACUAGGAACCAUGAGGUUGGACGUUCGGUCCCUGGCCUUGCCCAGUGGGUUAAGGACCCGGUGUUGCCGUGAGCUGUAGUGUAGGUUGCAGACGCGGCUCGGAUCCUGCGUUGCUACGGUUCUGGCGUAGGCUGGCAGCUACAGCUCUGAUUCAACCCCUAGCCUGGGAACCUCCAUAUGCCGCGGGAGCAGCCCAAGAAAUGUCAAAAAGACAAAAAAAAAAAAAAAAAAAAUGGUGGAACAGUUGAAGGAAAGGCUAGGUGGGCUAUUUUGGAGGGCAGAGUGUUUUUAAUAACAGUGCACAGAUGCUAUGUCGUCGAAAGGGGAAUUGACGUGUUUAGUGUCACAAACAUGUUUUAAGGUUUAGCUUUUUAAUUCUUUCAUAUCUCAUGCUUAUACAUAAAUCUUUUUUCAGGAUUAUGAUAAAAGAAUGUUAUCUUUGUGUCUAUUGUUUCAACUUGGGUGUUGAAAUCUAUAUUAAUAGACAUCUAGGUUUUAACAGGCCCUACAAGGCAAUGCUGAUGCAGUCUAAGUUAUGUGCCCUGCUUAUUUAGGGUCGAGGGUGAAUCUUUGGAGCAAAGAGCUCCCAGAGCACAGUGGCUCAAAGAUAACAGGUGUUAGUUUUCCUUCAAAGGGGAGUCUACGUGCAGGAGGCCGUCCCUGCCCGUGCAGGAUGUCAUCGCCAUCGUGAUUGUGCUGCAGGGAUCCGUGGCUGUCACCGCAGAUGUGCUGAAGGCUGGCGCACCCACACGUGUGCAUGGUGCAGCCUGAGCAAGUGGCAGAGACUAACGAACCAUUAGUCAAGGUGAUAAUGUAAAAAAUAAUACAAAUAUAUUUAUAUUACAUUUAUAAUAUAAAAAGAUACCUAUAUCUGUAAAGAUAUAUACAUAUACACAUAUCUAUGUAAAAAAGAUAAUAUAAAAAGAGCAUAUAUGUAUAUAUGUAUGUAUGACUGGGUCACUAUGCUGUACAGCAGAAAUGGACACAGCACUGUAAAUCAACCAUAAUUUACUAAUAAGGUGAUGCUUACUGCUCCAAAGACAGACCCCUAGAUCUCGGUGCAUUUGCCCCUUGAAGUCUGCUUCUCACGCACAUGGAGCCCUGGACAGGCGGUCCCGUCCCGUGGGUAGAUCUCUCCCAAGAGCAGGCUGAGGACCAGAGCCUUUCCUGGUGAUCGCUUUACUUAGGUUCCACAUGUGAGUUCCAGGCUGGCUUUGCCUUCCUCCCGCCUCCGGAGAGGAAAGGAUCAUGAAGCAGCAACGUGGGAGCAGCUCACGGAGCAGAGGCAGUGGGGCUGCUCAUUUGCAUCCCCUCCUAGUCUCUAGGAUGCAGCAGCACCGCCACGGCGGACUGAAAGCAGGGCUGGAAGAUAUGACUUGCUGUGCGCAGCAAGAACGGAAGUGUGUUCACUCGGCAGCUGCAAGGGUUGUGCCAGCCGGAGCAUGGUUUUAUUUUUUAAGUUGUAAUUGGACGUUACAUCUUUCAUUCCCUCGUUUCUUAUUGACUUAAUCACAUGGCAACGUGAGCUGCAGGAGCUGGGAAAAGAAAGUCCUCUCUGAGGCUUACAUUCAGAUCAAAUUUGCGGAAGGAGGAAGAAAGCAAUUUAUAACUGAUGAAAACUUAGCAGUUUCUGCCACACCUUUUCACCCGUAAAAUCGCAAAUACAUUUGUUUAGUGAAAGUUGAAUAUGAAUCGUGGGAAUAGCAUUGACCCCCAGCUAAUUUUCAUUUCGCAAAGGUUUCUGAAGAAAUAAAGUGACAACAGAAACAGUUCCAUUUUUCCUUUUCAUCUAGCGUUAGAUGUUCUGUCUCUCAGUCUUAACAAUAGAUAGAAGGGCUUUGGGGAGUCUUACUUUUUCGUCAACAAGCUUUUAUUUAUUUAGGAGAAAUGCUUCGGGUUUAGUACUCUGGAAUUUUAAAGAAAGCCUUUACUAAAACAUAGGUUUAGUGAAGUGCUUUGCUUUUACUGGGAAUGUGGCAGAUGCCAGUCUAAAUAAAUUUCUAUAUAACUGAUUAGCAGCUGUCUCUCAGGAAAGUGUAAGCAGCAGCGUGACACUUAAGAAUCCAUCCUUCAUUUGGUGAACAGGAGCCUUGCAAAGGAAAUUAUGUUUCCAGGAAAAAAACAAACAAACUAAUAUUUAACUAUAAGAAUUAAACUAUUGUUUGUCAGGAACACUGCAGAAUAUUUUCUCAGAUAGUAGCUACUUCAGUGAUUUUAUUGGUAGUAGGGCUGUGUCUGUAAGGCAGGGCGGGAUGAAGAACUAAAACCAGAAGGGGCUAAGACGUAAAACUGAGGGAGAAGGGAGAUGAAAACACGGAGGAUGUGACGUCGUCCAGGAAAACGCCCUUGAGUGAAGGCGGACCCUUGGCAAACGUCGCAGAGCUGAGAAGAGGGUUGUGGCAAACUCACAGGACGUGCGAAUGAGCCCUCAACCACCCCCCGUGGUUUGUUUUUACGGUUGGCACGUUUCCGCUUGCUUUCCCGUUUUCUGCAGAGGGUAGGACAUCUUCUAACGUGCCCAGCGUUCUGAUGCCACCCCGCCCCCUCUGCACUUCCGUCCCAAUCGUGUUCUCGGUUUACGUUUGUUGUGCUUCUAGGAUGAGACACAGAGGAGCGUGCUCUUUCACGUGCGACUGGAACCAUCCACGCCCUCGUGCUUAGUACCGUGGGUGAAGCAGCUCCUCCAGCAGAUGCCCGUUCCUCCCUGUGUUCGCUCAUCUCAGACCCUCCUGUUCUUGAAACCGUCAGCACCCCUUUCUCACCUAUCAUCAGUGGGGUUCUCUCUAAAAGGCAACCUCAUUAGCAUACAGUGACUCUAACAUCUGUUGAAAAAUACAACUCUUUUCAUUUCACAAAGGCCUUCAGCGUCUGCACUGCUGCCAGAGACGUAUCCUCGCAUGUUUUCGGCACUGGCUCCCGUGGCGGUUGACUCUUCACCUCCUCCCUCCACGGCUUUGUCUUUCUCCAUCCAAUGAAACCAUCCCUUCCACUGUUACAAAGGAACUCUGUGUUGGCAAAUCCAAAGAUACAUACUUUCUUCUCGCCUCACUUUACUCAAUAUUUCGUAGACAUUCAGUCCAAUGGUUGAUUCUCCCUUUCUCCAAUGAGCUAGUAUUGUUUAGAUUCCUUGAUAAGAGGCACUCUUGGGUUUCCUCAUUCAUUGGUUUCUUCUUUUCUAGAUCCCUUUUUUUUCCCCCUUUUCUACAUAGUUCCUAAACAUGGCACUUUGAAUAACCUCCCUCUUCCUCACUGGUUUUCAAAUGAAUGAAGAGAUAAAAGAGUUAAUCAGUUGGGAGCAGAAUAGAGUAUUUGUGAAUGAUAAAAUGGACAUUGAAGACUGUGGCUUAUGUAUGUGGGCUAGUGGUCUUUCCAGUCACUGGCCUCGGAUGUUAACAGAGUUGUUUGGUCAAUAUCAGUUUAGAUCCCUCCUACCUGCGUGUUCUUCAUCAAAGCUGACAAAAUAAAAGAGAGGAGAGGAAAGAACAGAACUAAGCUUAGGCAGGAUCAUUAUCCUAAACUGGAUGCAUGCCAUUAUGAGACGACUAGGGAACAACAAAGACAGGCCAGCAGCGCUGCUUCCUCUCUGUGGCAGGAAACGUUGUAAAUGAGUGUGAUGGGUAGAGGCAAGCCCCAUAACAGCUGGAACUGUGAAGGUCAUAGAAAGAGAUAUAAGCCACAAAUACUCUGUGACAAGGCUGUGACAAGUCCAUAAAUAAAGGAGAGAAAGCAUCUGAUCAGAAAGACCGUCUUAGGGUACCCAGUAGAAAAUAGCAUCCUUAUCCAUUUAGCCAUUGCUUGCUUCCUCUUACACCCCUUGGAGGCUGACGCAAAUAAUUGCUCUUUUAUGAUUUGCCUAAAGUACAAGCGAAAGACCUUGAGUACAGGAUCUUCAUUUUGUUCAGGCUGUCUCCCCAGCAUCUCUAAGAGUAACCAGAAUGUAGUAUGCAUCGUUGAAUGAGUGAAUAAAUGAAUUCAAAGACCACACUAUAUAGAGAAGUGUCACAUCUCUUCCAUUGUUGGAAGAGAUUACUGGUCUCUGGGUUGAUCAGGGAAGGCUUCAAUGAGACACAAUUUAAGCUAGACUACAAAUAAUACAACUGUGCUAAUAAGCAAGAUGGUGAGAAGAGCAUGACCAAAAGUAAAGUUUAAAAAAAAACAAAACACAAGACAGAUUUGGGUGUAUGACAGUUAUUAGCAUUGACAAUACAUGAACAGCUUCUAUUUAUCGCAGUAGUAUAAAAAAACAACAUGAAAUAUCUGCAAGAUAUAAAAGCACACAUUUAAUUUUUUAAUUUAUUUUUCUCUUGGAAUGAUUACAAGUUACUGACUUUAAUUCAGUAUUUAACUUUAUAAAUUUAUAUAUUCUAGAGAAGACGAUAUGGUGUGUGUGUGUGUGUGAACACAAGUAUUUGUACAUGAUUGUGUAUGUAUAACAAUCCCUACAAACACUAUUUGGACAGUUUAUGCUUAUUGAAAACAUAUGAAUUAUAUUCUUUGAAAUGGUUUUUGUUAUCUAACUUAUUUCCAAAAGUUACAAAUGACUUAUUGCCCCAUAUCGACAUAUUGGCAAAGCCAUUGUUUUUCCCAAUUACUCUAGUUUAUAUAUUCUAGUUUUCUUACUUCAAAUUCUUUCAGUAUAGUAAGCUGAAAAUCUCUUUUCUGGGUUCAGAAGCUUCCUAUAAGUAGAAUAAUCACAUGCUGUUUUAUUUCUUGCGGGUUCUGUUAAUUGCAGUAUGAAGUAAUGUGGCCUGAAAAAUAUAAAAAUUGUCGGUGCCUAUAAGGUUUUCAUUGAUUCACUGAAAAAUGAAUGUGAGAUUGGAAAUAUUCUAGUAUUCUUUUUCUGCAAGAGAAAAAUUUCAAGUCGAUAGAACAAUCAAGAAUUGCAUAGAUACGAUGCCUGCAGUUUCUCACUAGGAGGUUCAGUAAUCUUCUGAUUCUUUCCCUAUAAUAUCGCACAAAAUUGCUUGUAUUAGGCAACUAACAGGUAGCACAAGAGCACGAUUAUGAAUGAGAUGGUUUUCUCUGAUCGACAGGCUACAUCUGAUUUUUAAUGUUGCAUUUUAUCCUCAUUGAUUGGAACAUGCGAAUAGUCCCUCUUCAGUGGAAUGGCUCAGCUUGUAGAUGAAAUCAUAAUUGUUUUGUGUUAGCCCACACAUUUUCAAGCUUUUAACAGUAAUCUUAGGCCUGAAAUGGAAAUGUAUGUUUUUUUAAUAUAAAACUUAUCUGAAACACCCAGAAAGGUCAAUUUCAUUGUUCUCCUAUAUGAAAAACAUUUUAGUCAACUACAGAAUUGAGGGCACUUACCACCAUCACACUUCAGCUGAGAAAAUAUGUAUUUUUUAAUCCACACCAUGUGUGGCCCCCCGGAGAUUUUCUCUGCCCUAGACAAACAGCAGGUCCCAUAGGAGGGCCACUAGACCAAGCAUAUUUUCACCUUGCCCACUGUGAAAACUUGGGAAAGAGGAGUAUUUUAUAACUCUGAUCUUUAAAAAAUUGCAUCUAACUCUCUUUCCACUAAUCCUUAGGCAUGCAUGAUGGUUUAGAACAUAUUGUUUCUGAAGAUGAUAAAGGACACAUACUUUUCCUACCACACAUGGAUUUACUAAGCCCUCUUUUUUAUGAGGUGAAGAUAAAAAAAUCUUGUGAAUAUUAAAUAUGAUUUUCCUAUAGUAACCCAAGAAAGAAUAGCUACAAAAAUCAAUGCACAUUGAGAAGUGAAAAUGCUAUCUCUGAAAAGACACCUAUGUACAUAUAUUUUACAUAAUAUCAAGCUGUCAUCUUGUACUUUGGGUUUUAGAAAUUACAAUAAUACAAUUGCAUAGUUAUUAUUUUAAUAUCAUCACUAAUUGAUUUUGCUCCACAAAUACUUUUGUUGUUUGUGUUUUCCAAAAUAAGUAAUAGCACAAUGAAAAAUUGGAGAUUUAAUUUUUAUUUGUGAAUCUUUAUAAUCAUUUCUAUCUCCUUGGCAUACACAACAUGAUCGAGAAUAAAAGAGCAAA
rnacentral:lncRNA from 1 species